rnacentral:rRNA from 1 species
CGCGUAGGCGGUUUUUUAAGUCAGAUGUGAAAGGUACCGGCUCAACCGGUGACGUGCAUUUGAAACUGAAAGACUUGAGUACUGGAGAGGCAAGUGGAAUUCCUAGUGUAGCGGUGAAAUGCGUAGAUAUUAGGAGGAACACCGGUGGCGAAGGCGGCUUGCUGGACAGAUACUGACGCUGAGGUGCGAAAGCGUGGGGAGCAAACA